UCCCUGGAAUAGCUCAGCCGGUAGAGCGUGAGGCUCUUAAUCUCAGGGUUGUGGGUUUGAACCCCACGUUGGGCA